CGUACGUGCCGGAUUAACCGAUUUCUCAUAUACUUAAUGGGAACUAUAUUCACAUGACGUAGUAAUUCCCAAUCACGUGGUACAGACAAUAUUCGAACUUGGAUCGAAUUCGAAGUAAAAUAUUUAUAUUUAAUUCGGCUUUUUUUGUUAUGUUUUUGACUAUUGUAUUACGGUGUCAAAUAUGCCAUUUUGAAAGCAGAAUAUGUGACUAUGUGUGAUAUACAGAUACAACUCAAAUUCGUUAAUUAAAUAUUUCCAUUUUUUUGACGAUUUUAAGAUUUUCAAGAUGAAUUUAAUAAACAUAAUUCUCUGCCUGAUGACAUUGCAACGUUUAGGUGAAGGUCUUCAACACUGCAAACGUUAUAUAACAUACUUUAAUAUCAAUUUAACUUUGCAGUAUGAGAACUCUGUAAUUUUUAGACAUUUUUAUGGAAAUAAUAUGAAUAACGGUUUACUAUUGGAAUAUCUCUCUCUUAUUUCGAGUGAAAAAAAGAAGAAUAUUCGAAAAAUGUCAGUGGGUAAUCUAAAUUCGUUGCAACGAAUCAUUUAUAAUAUAUUGCCUUCUUUAUUAUCCUUACUGUUACUAAAAGUAACUUCUUUUACGUAAUGAUUCCUACUAUAAAGAUAAUUAUUCACAAAGUCCUUUCAUAUAUCUUGGAUGAUCAUUGCGUGCCAUCUAGACAUGUAGCAGUCUACGUGUCUGGAUGCCAUGAAUGAUUCUAAAUCUUAAGAAUCAUUUACUUUUAACGAACGAAAAAUUAUGGAUUAUAAGAUAUUGCAUCUCAUCAAUUUGACGGUGGUCUUCUUAUAUUCAAAGAUUUUUCCUAAUAACUAGAACCUUUCUUGUCGAAACAUAACCAAAUAUUGCAAGUAAAGGAUGCUUGAAGGUUGCUAAACUAUUUUAUAGAAUUUAUAUAUAUAUACUGUAUUACUACCAAAGAAUUAUUCAUAGAUAAUGUUAAUAAUUAACAUUAUCU